GCAGGAUAAGCAGACUCCCUGGAGCUCUGUGUGGACAAUGGAAGCACUCAGUCUGCAGACAAAUGGAGUUCAGAAGGACUUUUACUAUAGUACAUAGCAUUUGGGAGAAGAACUGUGCCUUGCAAAGAUACAUCUGGCAGAAACCUAUCAAGCAUAUCUGUAAGAAGAUAUUGUGGCUGGAUUGGAGGUGUUGAAUUUCUGGCUGGACAGUUACCACAUUUUUGGGGAAGCACUGUGUUUUUUAGAUGCAGAAAUCUAUCAGGGGCAUCUCUAGGAAGUGUCUGGAAAAGCUGUACCUCUUGAUUUUCUGCCUGCAUGUUACUACUUAUGUUUAAAUUUUGAUAUUGUUUCCAGGUCUUUAUGGAUUCAAACCCCCAAAUAUCCUAUUGGUGAACAGUUUGAUUAUAUAUUUUUCA